rnacentral:tRNA from 2 species
CGAGACGUAGCGCAAUCUGGUAGCGCGCACCCUUGGGGUGGGUGAGGUUGCAGGUUCAAAUCCUGUCGUCUCGACCA